rnacentral:lncRNA from 1 species
UAAGUCAAUACAUCUUGAUUGGCCUGAAAAAGCAAACCACUUUACAUUUGUCGGCACUAAAGCAACCAAUCGAUCACAGCUAUUAACAACUUUAGUUACUUAAUACGCACUAUAUUCGUUUAAACUUUAAUUAUUUGUUUCUUGGACAAAAAAGUAAACUAACGCAAAGAAUUAUAUGAUCAUAUCACCUGAGGAAUCCCGAGGAGUGGAAUCUAUGAAAGAGUUCCCAUUGAUCGUGGCCGGAUUGGUGACGUCAUUCUUGACGGGGGAUGUCGUGUCAGGUUCAGAGAUUAGGGCCGAAAGCUUUACGGCGGAAUCAGAGGAGGUCUUGAUGGUGUUGUGAGAAGAGGAGACACAGGAUCCCAUCUGAAGACUCACUCGUGUCCAGCACAGAGAGCAAGAAUGAUUUGGGUUAGGAGAGAGUGGGGGGAAAUGAGUUUAGAGGAUCUAAAAGGCACAGAGAGGGAAUGAAGGAAGGAAGAUGAAGAAGCAAAGAGAGGGGCUUCAAAGCCAAGUUAAUGGUAUGACAAAAAGAGCAGUUUCGAUUUGGUAAGUGUCUUAAUUGUCUCGUUUAUUUUCAAAUAAUUUAUUAUGGCCUCUUCGUAUUGGUCCUCCUAACAUUAUGAUAUGGGCUCCCCCACACUUUAUUUGUUUUAUCUAAUCUUUCUAUUUUCUUGGUUUGUUGUUUCAAUGUUUUUUUUUGACUCCUUGCAUUUUGUCAUUCUGUUUCGUGCCGCAUGAAAUGUACGCCCCCCUCUCACAUCUAAUUUAGAAACAUCUAAUAUUUUUUGGUUCGUAAAACAAUUUUUUUUAUAACCGAGGUCAACCGACUAAUCUCACAGAAAUCAUAAAACAAAUACUAUAUUUCAUCUAGUUCUCCAUAAUUAGAACAUGGGCGAUACAAGAAAUGAUUCAUUUAGAAAUAUCUAUCAGGCUUUAGUGUUUUUAAAUUUUUUUGGUAGUUUUGGGUUGAUGAACACUCCAUCCUAGUAUAGGCUGAGAUGAUUGUGUGUAAUGAACUCUUAAAUCUUUGAUGUUUAAUUUCAAUUAUCAGAUAAUAAAAAAAAGUUGAUUCAUUUUGGACAAGAGGUUAAUGGGUGGUCAGGUCAAUCAUAACCAGAUCCAUAGUUCUUCAUCUUAAGUAAAUGGACAGCGUUUUGAUUGAAAAUAUCUACAAAGUGGGAAAAAAGAAGAAUAAAAGACAAGAGUUUCCCUUUACACUAGGACAAUGACUCUACGUUUGGUCGAGAUUCGGGUUGAAUGAAGAUCUCAGAGGUAAAGUUUGGGAUGUCAAUAUUAAUACCCUGUUCUUUUAGAAGACGGCAGCGUCUACGGCUUGCGGCCAAAUUUAUAAUUGUUUCUUGGGGGGGGGGGUGCUUAGCGUUGGACGUGAACGGGAGUAUGAUUCAUCAUCUUCCGUCGCCGCUCAGUGAAACUGCUACAAGAAACCAAACGCAGAACGCAGCUGCCUUGAGCCGACGAUUUCACCCUCUUAAGUUGUUGUCUUUCUGUAUCAUUAUUAUUAUAAGGAGUCGCCGGUGCAGAAGAUCUGACCGGUGUUCUUAGCCAGAGACAUGCUCUUGCUUUGCUUUCCGCCACGUCAUCCUCUCCUUCGUCCUCAUCUUGAUCCUGCGUCUCUUUGAAGAGUUCGAGGAGUCUCUUCUUGUUGUCUGUUGGAGACGGCUCUUCGUGUUUUUUCUCAUCUGCUUUAGGAGUUUUGUCAGAGAAUUUGUGAUGCACCGGUGUUGUUCCUCGCGACGGCGUAAAUUCUGCAAUGAAACAAGUCAAAUGUUCAGUCAUUAUUUAUUGAAAAAUAUUAUAGAUAUAUGUUACAAAGUAACUUCUCAAUAAAACGUCAUACCACCAUCAACGCUCAUGAAAUCAUCUUCACAGUCAGAAUCAAGCCACCCCCUUGAAUCGAAAAAAGUGAUCUCCUCUUUAUUUACAUUAAGAAACAAUCCAAAUCAUCAUUAUCUCAUAUAAUACUAUGUCACAACUCACAAGGAAGAGGAUAAUGGACACUUUUAAACUGUAAGGUAAAAGAAAUUGGAGGUUUUGAGUAAAUGCAGUAGCUGUACGUACCCCUAACUAACUACACCGGUUGUUCUGAUUUUUUAACAAUACGUUUCAACAUCAUACAUUUAUUAAAUGUUAUGAUUUUUUAAUAUAUGAAAGUUGCAACUUGAGGUAUGGUCCAUGUAUACAUAUCACUCUAACUGUAUAAUAUUGGUAUAUGCCUUGAAGACAUUCUAACCUCUAGCGUACGCUUCACCCUUUGCCCAUAUGAUACUACUACUAUUGUUUUGUAAAUUGAUAGAUCCCUGUUGUUACCCAUGUUUAUGACCAUCAUCAAACUAACUUUAUCAAUUUAAAAGCUCAUUUUCAUCUAACUAAUGCUUAUGACUCAGUAUAUGAUCUCUAAGUCAAUACAUCUUGAUUGGCCUGAAAAAGCAAACCACUUUACAUUUGUCGGCACUAAAGCAACCAAUCGAUCACAGCUAUUAACAACUUUAGUUACUUAAUACGCACUAUAUUCGUUUAAACUUUAAUUAUUUGUUUCUUGGACAAAAAAGUAAACUAACGCAAAGAAUUAUAUGAUCAUAUCACCUGAGGAAUCCCGAGGAGUGGAAUCUAUGAAAGAGUUCCCAUUGAUCGUGGCCGGAUUGGUGACGUCAUUCUUGACGGGGGAUGUCGUGUCAGGUUCAGAGAUUAGGGCCGAAAGCUUUACGGCGGAAUCAGAGGAGGUCUUGAUGGUGUUGUGAGAAGAGGAGACACAGGAUCCCAUCUGAAGACUCACUCGUGUCCAGCACAGAGAGCAAGAAUGAUUUGGGUUAGGAGAGAGUGGGGGGAAAUGAGUUUAGAGGAUCUAAAAGGCACAGAGAGGGA